rnacentral:other from 15 species
CAAGACGAUCCAUCACGCAUAACAGCUGUCCUCUGAAUAUACUGCCAAGAUAACCUUGAAAACGUGAGGGUUGACCUCAUCUAAUCUCCAGUAGCAAUUUUGUUCAGUAUUGGAGGUGUUAUGCGUCUGGAUCGUCUUAC